GAUGAACGCUGGCGGCGUGCCUAAUACAUGCAAGUCGAGCGAACAGACGAGGAGCUUGCUCCUUUGACGUUAGCGGCGGACGGGUGAGUAACACGUGGGUAACCUACCUAUAAGACUGGGAUAACUUCGGGAAACCGGAGCUAAUACCGGAUAAUAUUUCGAACCGCAUGGUUCGAUAGUGAAAGAUGGCUUUGCUAUCACUUAUAGAUGGACCUGCGCCGUAUUAGCUAGUUGGUAAGGUAACGGCUUACCAAGGCAACGAUACGUAGCUGACCUGAGAGGGUGAUCGGCCACACUGGAACUGAGACACGGUCCAGACUCCUACGGGAGGCAGCAGUAGGGAAUCUUCCGCAAUGGGCGAAAGCCUGACGGAGCAACGCCGCGUGAGUGAUGAAGGUCUUCGGAUCGUAAAACUCUGUUAUUAGGGAAGAACAAACGUGUAAGUAACUGUGCACGUCUUGACGGUACCUAAUCAGAAAGCCACGGCUAACUACGUG
rnacentral:rRNA from 1 species